AGGACGAACGCUGGCGGCGUGCUUAACACAUGCAAGUCGAGCGAGGCCCUUCCUUCGGGAAGGUGCCCUAGCGGCGAACGGGUGAGUAACACGUGGGCAACCUGCCCCUAGCACUGGGAUAACUCCGGGAAACCGGGGCUAAUACCAGAUAUGACCUUCUUGGGCAUCCUCGAAGGUGUAAAGGAUUCUGGCUAGGGAUGGGCCCGCGGCCUAUCAGCUUGUUGGUGGGGUAAUGGCCUACCAAGGCGACGACGGGUAGCCGGCCUGAGAGGGUGACCGGCCACACUGGGACUGAGACACGGCCCAGACUCCUACGGGAGGCAGCAGUGGGGAAUCUUGCACAAUGGGCGAAAGCCUGAUGCAGCGACGCCGCGUGAGGGAUGAAUGCCUUCGGGUUGUAAACCUCUUUCAGCAGGGACGAAGCGAAAGUGACGGUACCUGCAGAGAAGCACCGGCCAACUACGCGCCAGCAGCCGCGGUAA
rnacentral:rRNA from 1 species